rnacentral:rRNA from 1 species
UGCGUAGGCGGUCGGCUAAGUCUGAUGUGAAAUCUCCGGGCUCAACCCGGAAACUGCAUCGGAUACUAGUCGGCUAGAGGAUUGGAGGGGGGACUGGAAUCCUCGGUGUAGCAGUGAAAUGCGUAGAUAUCGAGAGGAACACCAGUGGCGAAGGCGAGUCCCUGGACAAUUCCUGACGCUGAGGCACGAAAGCUAGGGGAGCAAACA